ensembl:ncRNA C09H10.12 ncRNA
GUCGGUUACUGCAACAACAUAUAUUCUGUCGGCUGCUAAUUCAGACAUUCCGUUAGAUGUCGGCUGCUAAUUCAGACAUCUAGUUAGAUGUCGGCUGCUAAUCUAGGUAUAGCACCGGCUACAAACUUUAUCAAACUCGAAAUUGU